rnacentral:rRNA from 1 species
ACGAAGGUCCCAAGCGUUGUUCGGAAUCACUGGGCGUAAAGGGAGCGUAGGCGGCGUGGUAAGUCAGAUGUGAAAUCCCGGGGCUCAACCCCGGAACUGCAUCCGAUACUGCCAUGCUAGAGGAUUGGAGAGGUAGCUGGAAUUCUUGGUGUAGCAGUGAAAUGCGUAGAGAUCAAGAGGAACACUCGUGGCGAAAGCGAGCUACUGGACAAUUCCUGACGCUGAGGCUCGAAGGCUAGGGUAGCGAAAGGGA